AUUCCUUAAGUAAUUGCGAAUGAACAAGGAAAUGCUCAGCUUGAAAAAUGGGGCCUUUGGCUUUGAAUUGUAAUUUUGAAAUGUAUUGCCAAUGGAGGCGCAGGUGCAAGCCUAUUGAAAGAAAGCGUCAAUGAGGGUGAGAUUCCUUUUUGUCAUUUGCAGUCCUCCGUGCACGGUAUAUAUUUGACGAGUCACACUCCUCGGCAUUGGAAUGCAAAGUGGGUGGUAAAWUCCAUGUAAAGGUAAAUAUAUUAUUGAGACUGAUAGCAAACAAGUACCAUGAGGGAAAUAUGAAAAGGACUUUGAAAAGAGAAUUAAAAGAGUCUGCAUUUGCUGAACAGAAAGCAAACAGAAUUGAUUUUACUUGGCGAGAUUGUUGUGCUUACUCUAUCAUUUAUAUGGUUGAUGUGGGUGCGAUGGUUCUUACCUUGAAUGUCAGCUUCUAUUUCUGCAAAUCAUUACCCUUGCACAUGAAUGGUAAUUUGCCUGCGGGUAUUGGAAUGCAUGUGUUUGCAAUGAUUUGUGAUUUGACGCAUGUGUUUGGUGAAAUUUGUAUAUGCUCUUUUGUCGAAGGGGAAAGCUUACUUUUUUGAGCAUUGCAAGCCCUUACACAUCAGUGCUGGCAAAAUGUUUCUGCUUGACCCGUCUUGAAACACGGACCAAGGAGUCUAACAGAUGUGCAAGUUCGUGGGUGGCAAACCUUUUUGCGCAAUGAAAGUAUUGGCUGGGAUACUUGCACCAGCAGCCGACCAAUUAGCAGACAGAGGUUUGAGUUUGAGCAUAUCUAUUAGGACCCGAAAGAUGGUGAACUAUGCCUGAACAGAAUGAAUUCAGAGGAAACUCUGAUGGAGGUUCGUAUCGAUACUGACGUGCAAAUCGUUCGUCAUACUUGGGUAUAGGGGCGAAAGACUAAUCGAMCCAUCUAGUAGCUGGUUCCCUCCGAAGUUUCCCUCAGGAUAGCUGGAGUUGCACAGUUUUAUCAGGUAAAGCGAAUGAUUAGAGGAAUUGGGGUCACGCUGUCCUUGACCUAUUCUCAAACUUUAAAUGGGUAAGAUGCAAUGGUUGCUUUAUUGAACUUUUGGAAUAAAUGGCAAUAUCAGGUGGGCCAUUUUUGGUAAGCAGAACUGGCGAUGAGGGAUGAACCUAACGUUGGGUUAAGGUGCUUAAUUGCUUGCUCAUUAGAUACCAGAAAGGGUGUUGGUUCAUUUUAACAGCAGGACGGUGGUCAUGGAAGUCGAAAUCCGCUAAGGAGUGUGUAACAACUCACCUGCCGAAUGGACUAGCCCCGAAAAUGGAUGGCGCUCAAGCGGGUGACCGAUACCCAACCACUGUUGCAAAUAGUGUCAGUGUGUAGGAGGGCAUGGCGGUUUGUGAUGCAGCCUUUG
rnacentral:rRNA from 1 species